GACCCCACUGCUGGAGGGAUGUGAUCACAGAAGAACACGCAGGUAUCUACCUGACAAGCCUUCCUAUUCACAAACACGAUGAAGCCAAAUUCGUCUGGUUGCUGUUUAAUCAUCAGAGCCCAAGAUCUGCAAGAUCUUCCUUUUCGUUUUAGAGAAAAAAAGAUGGCGGCUGAGGAAAGGCUGCUCUUAAAGCACUCAUGAAGAAAUGCAAUAAAUUCCUUGUUGUUUUAUGAAAAUUUACAACUUUGUGCUAGAAGUUUAUGAGUGGCUGGGUCCUGGGAUUGGCCAGGGCCGGUCAUGUGGACUUGUAGCCGUGAACAUGAACUUUUAUCAUUUCCCAUGUGGUUAUAUUGCACCAGUCUUUCGGCCACCGCACCUUGGGUAGGAUCAGUAUCUCCUUCAGGGCUCCUGUCUGUGUCCUGUCUGCGGGUUUAAGGGAGUAGUGAGAGCGGAAGGAGAGCAUUCAUGGAGUCUGGAAGAAGAUGGAGGGCAGGAGUGGAGGAGCUGAGGAGCUGCAGGCUGAGAGCAGCAUUUCUCAAGCUGGGAACUUGCUCUAUUUUUGAGACAAAUGACAGAAAUCUAAAAGCAAUCAGAAGACAGAGGGAACCUCGGAUCUCAGCCUGGGACAAUGUGUCAGCUACAAAUAACCAGCACCUACCCUGCAAAGCAAAUCUGUGAAGACCGUCUGUUGAGAGGAAAAAAAAGGUGCAGGCGACUUCUGGAUUCUUCUGAGAAACACAGGAUUAGAUCAUCCAGUGUUUUGCUGUUCCUUUUUUCUUUAUUUCCACUUUGGAAAACUUAUCCAAACAUGACUUUAAAAUCAGAAGUCCUGGGAUCAGGGCCCCGGAUCGCACAAGACAAAACCUCCUACUCAUUCCCACAAUCUGGUAUUAAUUGGACAAGACUUUGGUAAGUAUCUGAUAUUUUGUAUUUGGAAUAUUUCAUUUUGGUAUAUUGUAACUACUUGCAGACACAAUGUUUAUACUAAAGUAGAGAAGGCAUAAUUGAUCAUAGGCUUGCAAUCUUGUUAUUAUGUGUCAGUGACACUUCCGGUACAGCUGGUUUAGGACUCAUUGUAGAGUACACACCUAAGGCCAUUGUUGUCAGUAAGGACUAUUUUACUGUUAAGUAAUGGGCAUAAUUUACUAAUACUUUACUAAUUAGAAGAGUGUGAGGCCUCUAUGCUAUGGGUAUCUUGGGUCAAUUAAUGUGAUAAUUUUCUUCUCUGAAUGCUUCUGAAAUAAGUUGUAUGAUCUCAGAUACAUGGUAGGAAUAUAGUAACAUAACUGUGCAAUGUUUAGCACAAAGUGACAUCCCAAUGUUUUAUAGUACAGUACACAAUAA